GACGAACGCUGGCGGCGUGCUUAACACAUGCAAGUCGAACGGAAAGGCCCUGCUUUUGUGGGGUGCUCGAGUGGCGAACGGGUGAGUAACACGUGAGUAACCUGCCCUUGACUUUGGGAUAACUUCAGGAAACUGGGGCUAAUACCGGAUAGGAGCUCCUGCUGCAUGGUGGGGGUUGGAAAGUUUCGGCGGUUGGGGAUGGACUCGCGGCUUAUCAGCUUGUUGGUGGGGUAGUGGCUUACCAAGGCUUUGACGGGUAGCCGGCCUGAGAGGGUGACCGGCCACAUUGGACUGAGAUACGGCCCAGACUCCUACGGGAGGCAGCAGUGGGGAAUAUUGCACAAUGGGCGGAAGCCUGAUGCAGCAACGCCGCGUGCGGGAUGACGGCCUUCGGGUUGUAAACCGCUUUCGCCUGUGACGAAGCGUGAGUGACGGUAAUGGGUAAAGAAGCACCGGCUAACUACGUG
rnacentral:rRNA from 1 species